rnacentral:rRNA from 1 species
UGGGGAAUAUUGGACAAUGGGCGAAAGCCUGAUCCAGCCAUGCCGCGUGUGUGAAGAAGGUCUUUUGGUUGUAAAGCACUUUAAGUGGGGAGGAAAAGCUUAUGGUUAAUACCCAUAAGCCCUGACGUUACCCACAGAAUAAGCACCGGCUAACUCUGUGCCAGCAGCCGCGGUAAUACAGAGGGUGCAAGCGUUAAUCGGAAUUACUGGGCGUAAAGCGCGCGUAGGUGGUUAUUUAAGUCAGAUGUGAAAGCCCCGGGCUUAACCUGGGAACUGCAUCUGAUACUGGAUAACUAGAGUAAGUGAGAGGGGAGUAGAAUUCCAGGUGUAGCGGUGAAAUGCGUAGAGAUCUGGAGGAAUACCGAUGGCGAAGGCAGCUCCCUGGCAUCAUACUGACACUGAGGUGCGAAAGCGUGGGUAGCAAACAGGAUUAGAUACCCUGGUAGUCCACGCCGUAAACGAUGUCUACCAGUCGUUGGGUCUUUUAAAGACUUAGUGACGCAGUUAACGCAAUAAGUAGACCGCCUGGGGAGUACGGCCGCAAGGUUA